GGCAGCCUGAGCUGAGGAAGCCCUGUGUGUGGGCGGGGCGAUCACCACCAGAAGGAAUAAAAACACAAGGAGAAGCCAGCCCCGUUCAGGACCACGGGAAGGUCUGCUCUAUUGUUUGAAGCCUUUCUCUUGUCUGUGGCAAGCCUGCAGAUUCAGUAACGACCACAGCUGUGCUUGGGCCCAGGCUUUUCCUGGGAGGCCUGUCCGCCUUCAGAGCAGGAGCAGAAGCAGCUGGUGUGGCUGCCCUCCUCCCAGCUCUCUCUCCAGUUUCUGAGUAGUGUCGGGACCAGCCGCGCUUGGGAUGCUCAUCCGUCCAGAGAUUUUAUCAGACUUCUGAUGAAUCUAAUUCCGGUGAAAGGAAGCAGAGGAAAACGAGCUGUUUAGGUUCACGGACAAUGUAUUUCUGGGCAAGAAAUGUGACUCUGUCCCCUUCUGUUGAAAUGCAGUAUUGACACACGUGGCACGGGAGAGCAGAACAGGACGAAUGGUUUUCUGUGAAGCACGGCUGGGUGGCAAGAGCUCCCUACUUACCUGCAGUGUUGGCUCCACUUGCCAGCUGUGACCUUGGACAUUGCAAGCCUGAGAUGGUUCAUCUUUAAAGGGGGAUUACUGCAGCUGCCCUGAUGGAGGGUUGUUGGAGGCUUGUUGGAGGAUUAAAGAAACUGAUGACCAAAAGGCUACUAGUACCAAGUGUGUGUUCAGUCAACAUGAGAGAGCUGCUGCGAUGGACUUGUAGGCGAGGGCUAAGCAGCGAGAUUUUGUGGCCUUCCUUGGCUGUUACAUUAAUUUAAAAGAUGACCUCAGAGUGACCCAGAGACAUAACUUGAUAAGGAACCAUGGCUUUAGCAGAAGCAGCCAGAAGAAUUUCCCACCUGGAUCGAGUUUCACAGGUGUGAUUUUUGAACCAGGAAAUCAAACUGGGUUCUCUGGCAGUACUGUCUCACCCUCAAGACCUGGGAAACGUCUGACCACCAGGUGACAGGCCCCACUUUAGCUGUGCAUUGUUGCAGAAAGUAUCCAUUUACACAUAGGUAUAUCAGAGCCUUCCCAUGAAACCACUGUGUCUCCCUGCGGUUCCGAAAUCCUGAACUCUCAAAGAUGCCCCCAGAUGAACUGUUCUCCACUAAGAAUGAAAUAAAUCAGUGAUGGUUCCUUCUUAUUGAA